rnacentral:misc_RNA from 1 species
GAUGAAGAACGUAGCGAAAUGCGAUAAGUAAUGUGAAUUGCAGAAUUCAGUGAAUCAUCGAAUCUUUGAACGCACAUUGCGCCCGUCAGUAUUCUGGCGGGCAUGCCUGUUCGAGCGUCAUUAUGCCCCUCAAGUCCCCUGUGGACUUGGUGUUGGGGAUCGGCGAGGCUGGUUUUCCAGCACAGCCGUCCCUUAAAUUAAUUGGCGGUCUCGCCGUGGCCCUCCUCUGCGCAGUAGUAAAACACUCGCAACAGGAGCCCGGCGCGGUCCACUGCCGUAAAACCCCCCAACUUUUUAUAGUUGACCUCGAAUCAGGUAGGACUACCCGCUGAACUUAAGCAUAUCAAUAAGCGGAGGA